UACGUAGGGGGCCAGCGUUGUUCGGAAUUACUGGGUGUAAAGGGUUCGUAGGCGGUGCGGCAAGUUGGGAGUGAAAUCUCUGGGCUUAACCCAGAGGCUGCUUUCAAAACUGCUGUGCUUGAGUGUGAGAGAGGCUCGUGGAAUUGCAGGUGUAGCGGUGAAAUGCGUAGAUAUCUGCAGGAACACCCGUGGCGAAAGCGGCGAGCUGGAUCACUACUGACGCUGAGGAACGAAAGCGUGGGGAGUGAACAGG
rnacentral:rRNA from 1 species